AUUGCUUCUUGGCCUUUUGGCUAAGAUCAAGUGUAGUAUCUGUCUUCAGGCUGACUUCUGUUUGAUCCAGCAGGAAAAACUUCUCCUCUGAGCCCCU
rnacentral:snRNA from 1 species